rnacentral:rRNA from 1 species
UGGGGAAUACUGCACAAUGGGCGAAAGCCUGAUGCAGCGACGCCGCGUGAGGGAUGACGGCCUUCGGGUUGUAAACCUCUUUCAGUAGGGACGAAGCGCAAGUGACGGUACCUGCAGAAGAAGCACCGGCUAACUACGUGCCAGCAGCCGCGGUAAUACGUAGGGUGCGAGCGUUGUCCGGAAUUACUGGGCGUAAAGAGCUCGUAGGCGGUUUGUCACGUCGUCUGUGAAAUCCUAGGGCUUAACCCUGGACGUGCAGGCGAUACGGGCUGACUUGAGUACUACAGGGGAGACUGGAAUUUCUGGUGUAGCGGUGGAAUGCACAGAUAUCAGGAAGAACACCGUUGGCGAAGGCAGGUCUCUGGGUAGUAACUGACGCUGAGGAGCGAAAGCAUGGGUAGCGAACAGG